AUUGAACGCUGGCGGCAGGCCUGACACAUGCAAGUCGAGCGGCAGCGGGAAAGUAGCUUGCUACUUUUGCCGGCGAGCGGCGGACGGGUGAGUAAUGCCUGGGAAAUUGCCCAGUCGAGGGGGAUAACAGUUGGAAACGACUGCUAAUACCGCAUACGCCCUACGGGGGAAAGCAGGGGACCUUCGGGCCUUGCGCGAUUGGAUAUGCCCAGGUGGGAUUAGCUAGUUGGUGAGGUAAUGGCUCACCAAGGCGACGAUCCCUAGCUGGUCUGAGAGGAUGAUCAGCCACACUGGAACUGAGACACGGUCCAGACUCCUACGGGAGGCGGCAGUGGGGAAUAUUGCACAAUGGGGGAAACCCUGGUGCAGCCAUGCCGCGUGUGUGAAGAAGGCCUUCGGGUUGUAAAGCACUUUCAGCGAGGAGGAAAGGUUGAUGCCUAAUACGUAUCAACUGUGACGUUACUCGCAGAAGAAGCACCGGCUAACUCCGUGCCAGCCGCCGCCGUAACAC
rnacentral:rRNA from 1 species